ACAAGAAUGGUUGCCCGUGAACGUGGUAAUUUGAUUCGUCCACGGACAUCCAUUUUUGUGA
rnacentral:pre_miRNA from 1 species